rnacentral:tRNA from 1 species
GCGUCGGUAGCUCAGUUGGUUAGAGCACCACCUUGACAUGGUGGGGGUCGGUGGUUCGAGUCCACUCGGACGCACCA